rnacentral:lncRNA from 1 species
CUUUGCUGUAAGCUUCCUGGGUUCAAGAUGUAAUGAUAAAUUUUUAUUUUGCAUCAGAUCAGUGAAUUCUUGAAAUUUUCAUGUGGUUUUGCAUUCCUGUGAAAUGAAGAUAUUAUUAAUGAACAACAGUAUGAAUCUCAUUUCAAUGCCUUUUCAUUUUCUUACUGCACUGGGGCAAAUUUUUAUUCUUAUUUAGUUCAAGGUCUAUAAUGCUUUAAGAUAAGCGAGAAUCUAAAACUGGAAUGUGAACUGGAAUAUGACCCUCCUCCCAAGUCUUAAGGAUUUACCAACUGACUGUGGGCCACAUGGUAUUCCUGUUUAUUUCAUGGGGCUGAUAUGGUCAACAUCUAUUGUUCACUUACCAUGGCAUGUCACUUUUCUAGACAUGCCUUAUACUAUGACAUAACCCUGUGAGGUAAGUGCUAUUACAUUCAUUUUACAGAUGGAAAUCUGGAACACAAAGAGAUCCAAUAAUUUGUCCAAGGUCAUAUGGUAGGUGACAGAGCUGGAGUUUUAACUCAAAAGGUCGGACUCCAAGUCUCCUUGAGACAGCAAUGUCCAAAUGCACACAGUGAUCUCUUAAUUUCUAUUGCCUUCAUCUCUGCUCUGCUUCAUUCACCCACUUAUACAGAAACACCUUUAAUUUGUCUUCCUUCAAAACUGCUCUAUCUCUAAGACCUUGGACUUAUUGCUCUAGCUGCUGCCUCCUUAGCUUUUAUUCCUGUUGCUUUUUCACAAUGGCUAAACCUGCUCAGCAUCUGCAUUGAGCCCUCUUAACUCUCCUUAUUCUCCCAGUUCCCACUCCUGCCCCUUUCCUGGUUUCCCUUACUUCGGUGCCAUAUGAGGAAGACUUGCCAUUGCAUGAAUUCACCUUGUAUUUUUCCACCUUUUAACCUCACCCACUCUCUCUGUCUGGGAUAUUCUUCCUCUCUCUCUGUUUUAGCUUGUUUAAAACUUUUCCCAAUCUUUAAGCCAAUCCCCUACCCCUUACUCCUCAAAUGCUAUCUCUCUACAACGUUCUUCCUGGUCAUCUCAAAACCUCACAUGCAAUCCUUCUUUCCUCAGUAUUCCCGACAAUCAGUUUGUACAACAAAUACAGUGCUCAUGAGAGUCUACCUUGUAAUAAAGUUGCAUGUGGAUUUCCUUAGCAUCCCUUCUAGCUUAUAAUUAUAACUUAGAAGUUCUAGCCCAGUGCUUUAUGCUAGAUUAGAAUAUGGAACAAGUAACUUUACAACUGGAAAGUAUGUAAAAGAUAUUCUAAUUCAAACCUUAAUUUUACUGCUAAAGACAUUGAAGCCUAUUUUAAGAGGCGACUCAUGCUGACAAUGGGAAAGAGAAAUUCACUUGUACCUUCCUUCCUUGAAUUCAUAUUAGGAAUAAAACCAUACGUGUGCUCAGCACUGUGCUAGGCACUAGGUCUACCCAGGUGACAGUUCCUAUUUUUAAGAAUCUCAGUAUCUACUGGGAAAAACAAUUAAUAGAUUAUUAUAACACAAUGGGAUGGGAUACCUGUUUGAGGAAUAAAUAAAUGCAUGAGUCAAGGAGUUUACUGUCUUUGCAGUCAUAUUAUGUGGUCCCUUCAAUCAGAAGCAUGAGGAGACAGGUUUUUUUUUAGACAAGAGUUUCCCUCUGUGGCCCAGGCUGGAGUGCAGUGGCACAGUCUUGGCUCACUGCAACCUCCGUCUCCCUGGCUCAAGCGAUUCUCAUGCCUCAGCUUCCCAAGUACCUUGGACUACAGGCACCCACCACCAUACCUGGCUAAUUUUUGUAUUUUUAGUAGAGAUGGGGUUUCACCAUGUUGGCCAGGCUGGUCUCAAACUCCUGACCUCAAGUGAUCUGCCCACCUCAGCCUCCCAAGUGCUGGGAUUACAGGCAUGAGCCACUGAGCCCAGCUGAGACAGGUUUUAUAAUUCACUUAAUAAAAUCAUAUCUCAGGCUGCAGGAAAGGAAUGUCAAAUCUGAUUUGUGCCAGGCAAGUUCAUCGUCAUUAGUCCAAAAGAGGAGAGAGGUCUAUUGGAAAUGAGGAGCUGCUGCUUUCCAUCUCACCCUCGGUUUUUAGUUUGUCUCUCUUCAGUUUUUGUUGCUGCUUUCCCUCGUGUACUCAGGAUUAUGUUUUAAACACUCACAACCUGGACGAUUUUGGUUUUGUUUACUUAUUGGCUGUAUGUUUACCUCAACCAGGCCAAAGGUUCUAUGGACUCUGGACUGGAUGCACUACUGAUUUACUUUUUUUUCUGAUGGUGGGGGUGGGGAGAUGGACUUUUGCUCGUCUCCCAGGCUGGAGUGCAAUGGCAUAAUCUCGGCUCACUACAACCUCUGCCUCCCUUGUUCAAGCAAUUCUCCUGCCUCAGCCUCUUGAGUAGCUGUGAUUAUAGGCAAGCACCACCAUGCCUGGCUAAUUUUUGUAUUUUUAGUAGAGACGUGGUUUCACCAUGUUGGCCAGGCAGGUCUCAAACUUCUGACCUCAGGUGAUCCACCAGCCUCGGCCUCCUGAAGUGCUGGGAUUACAGGCGUGAGCCACCACGCCUAGCCUAUUUACUUUUUAAAACACUUGAAUGGUCUUGUAAUGUUAGCUGUUCUCAGUCCCGCAAAAGUCGGGUUUCUGUCAGGCAACGCGUCUGCUUAAUUUAGGUGUCAAAGAGAGUGUCACGGGAUGCACGGUAGGACAGCUCCCAAACCCACAGGAUAUUCCUUACUUGCAAAAUCACAGGCCCAUUCUGCUCACAGCACAUCAGGAAUGACUUCCAGUUGGGUGGUGUGAGGGGGAGUUUUAUUUGAAAAUGAUUCCAAA